GACGAACGCUGGCGGCGUGCUUAACACAUGCAAGUCGAGCGGUAAGGCCCUUUCGGGGGUACACGAGCGGCGAACGGGUGAGUAACACGUGGGUGACCUGCCCUCAGCUCUGGGAUAAGCCUGGGAAACUGGGUCUAAUACUGGAUAUGACUCCACGGUGCAUGUCGUGGGGUGGAAAGCCUUGUGCGGCUGAGGAUGGGCCCGCGGCCUAUCAGCUUGUUGGUGGGGUGANGGCCUACCAAGGCGACGACGGGUAGCCGGCCUGAGAGGGCGACCGGCCACACUGGGACUGAGACACGGCCCAGACCCCUACGGGAGGCAGCAGUGGGGAAUCUUGCGCAAUGGGCGAAAGCCUGACGCAGCGACGCCGCGUGA
rnacentral:rRNA from 1 species